CCCCUCUCAGGAUCUCUCAGGAGAGUUUCCAGUACUCUACUGGUCUUGGCUGUGGGAGGGAGAGUCAAGCAGAGGCCUACCCAUUCCAUUCCUAGCUUGGCCAUUGCCUAGCGAGUGGAAGGCAAUCUGCUACAAGU
rnacentral:snoRNA from 1 species